rnacentral:rRNA from 1 species
UCGGUAUGUAAAGCUCUAUCAGCAGGGAAGAAAAUGACGGUACCUGACUAAGAAGCACCGGCUAAAUACGUGCCAGCAGCCGCGGUAAUACGUAUGGUGCAAGCGUUAUCCGGAUUUACUGGGUGUAAAGGGAGCGUAGACGGCUGUGUAAGUCUGAAGUGAAAGCCCGGGGCUCAACCCCGGGACUGCUUUGGAAACUAUGCAGCUAGAGUGUCGGAGAGGUAAGUGGAAUUCCCAGUGUAGCGGUGAAAUGCGUAGAUAUUGGGAGGAACACCAGUGGCGAAGGCGGCUUACUGGACGAUGACUGACGUUGAGGCUCGAAAGCGUGGGGAGCAAACAGGAUUAGAUACCCUGGUAGUCCACGCCGUAAACGAUGACUACUAGGUGUCGGGGAGCAAAGCUCUUCGGUGCCGCAGCAAACGCAAUAAGUAGUCCACCUGGGGAGUACGUUCGCAAGAAUGCAAAU